ACGAACGCUGGCGGCGUGCCUAAUACAUGCAAGUAGAACGCUGAAGGAAGGAGCUUGCUCUUUCUGGAUGAGUUGCGAACGGGUGAGUAACGCGUAGGUAACCUGCCUGGUAGCGGGGGAUAACUAUUGGAAACGAUAGCUAAUACCGCAUAAAAUUGAUUAUUGCAUGAUAGUCAAUUAAAAGGUGCAACUGCACCACUACCAGAUGGACCUGCGUUGUAUUAGCUAGUUGGUGGGGUAACGGCUCACCAAGGCGACGAUACAUAGCCGACCUGAGAGGGUGAUCGGCCACACUGGGACUGAGACACGGCCCAGACUCCUACGGGAGGCAGCAGUAGGGAAUCUUCGGCAAUGGACGGAAGUCUGACCGAGCAACGCCGCGUGAGUGAAGAAGGUUGUCGGAUCGUAAAGCUCUGUUGUAAGAGAAGAACGAGUGUGAGAGUGGAAAGUUCACACUGUGACGGUAUCUUACCAGAAAGGGACGGCUAACUACGUG
rnacentral:rRNA from 1 species